AACGACUAUGGUUGGUGUGCGAUGGAAGUGAAACGUGUGUGAGUCAGAGUGAAAAGUGUGAGAGUCAGAGUGUAUGGAGGCUGCUGCAGAUUACUUAGUUAGGGUUUUGUUCCAAUGAAAUUUUAGAAUUUAUACUCUGAUUUUAUUGGCUUGGUGGGCUCAAAAUGAAGGAAUUUCAAGCCCAUGAUUUUUCUGUUAUAUUUUUU
rnacentral:lncRNA from 1 species